rnacentral:sRNA from 1 species
GAUAUCAGGGUCAAAAGGUCAAAAAGUCGUUCGUGCUUGCACGAUAAGACUUUUGAACUUGGGACCCUCCAAACAUGAGAAAGUAGCGAUUUACGUAGUAAAUCUGCGGAUUUCGAAUGUUUGAGAAUUGCGGGAGCUGCUUUGCAGCGGAGCAAUUCGUAGAUAUC